UGAGGGAAUCUCAAAAAUUGGGUNGUAGUCCGGAUUGGAGUCUGCAAUUCGACUCCAUGAAGUCGGAAUCGCUAGUAAUCGUGGAUCAGAAUGCCACGGUGAAUACGUUCCCGGGCCUUGUACACACCGCCCGUCACACCAUGGGAGUGGGCUGCAAAAGAAGUGGGUAGUUUAACCUUCGGGAGGACGCUCACCACUUUGUGGUUCAUGACUGGGGUGAAGUUGUAACAAGGUAACCG
rnacentral:rRNA from 1 species